ensembl:lncRNA
CCCCUCGGCAGGACGGGGUCUGGGGGCGGUCACGUGCUGGCUGAAUUCGAGGAGGUGUGUCACGCGCACGGGGACCCCUUGCACUACUGGAGACGGAAGGCCAUCGACUUUCCCCUGUUGGCCCAAGUGGCCAAGAGGACCUUCACCAUACCGGCCAGUAGCACUGUAGUGUCCAGCAUUUUCACCACUGCCAGGCAAAAUCUACAGCUGGAGAGGGGUUGUGUGCUACCGAAACACUUGGAGACGCUCAUCUACCUCAAAGCAAAUUACAGAUUGUUAUGGACUUAGACUUGCACUGUGUGACACUAUUUUCUCGUGUUGCGAACCUGAACCUACUCUGAGGAUACUAACUGGUUUUCCACUGCACUUGGGACAUCCAACAUACACUAGGACAAUGCCACAAUACUCAGUUAUCUAUAUAUCAGUGGAUUGAAGCAAACAGUGAGCAUGGACGCAUCUGUUUCCAUUGUUGAGUGAGGUCAUCCAUAGGCUUUGUUAAACAGGUAUGCUGUUGUCUGGUCUUUUGACUAUGUAGCCUGCAUAUCGACUAUACCCCACUACAUGCUGCGGAUGAAGGAGACAAGACAUUAAUCAAUAGUAAAGCAUUUACUUUGACAUCAGCGACUGAACACAGUCUCCAGAUACAAACACAAGCCUGCUAAUACCCCUCUGUCACCCUCUCCUUCACAAACAAAGCUUGAGCCUGUAUGCCAUACAGAGAAUGCAGAUAAUAACGAAACGGUCGUUUCGAUGCAUUUAAUGCAGUUUAUCUACAUCAGAGCCUCGGAGCCCUCC